GGAAAUAAAAUAAACAGUAAACCAAUAUGCACUCUAAGGAACAAAAAGGAGAAGCUAUACUGAUGAAGAAUAAGAUAGGAGUCCGAAUCCUGUCAGGUUGUUGUGUGAGGUCCCAAGCUUCGAACGUCAUUAGGCACGGGGUGUUGUAACUUUGACAACAAGCUUCUGGUUUACUGCAUUGAAUUGGUAGCUCUUUGAAAACUGAACUGGGUAUCAGAGCUUGUUUUUUAAAUGAUUUAAAUACUAUUUUAACACUAUAUAGUGUUCUAAUGUACAACGUAAGUGGUUCCGAAAUAAUACAAGUAUUCAGCUUUUUUCGCUUGGGUAACAAUGUGUCAGACCUGUGUGUGUGAGGGAGAUAGAAUGGGAGUUUGAGGGAGAGGGAUGGAGAAGAAACAAAAGAGGGAGAUGAAGUGGGUGAGGUUGCAGGAGGUAAUGAGAGAGAUCGGUAAAAAGAGGAAGAGUUUGAAUAGAAGACAAGGGGUGAAAUGUUUCGAUGCCCUGGUGAUGAUGUUUGUGGCAUAUUAUUGCUUUAACAUAAAUUACCCCUCUGACCUGGCAGCAACACUGGAGUUCAAGCAGAGGUGAACUCCAAUCAAGGAAGAUCAAUGGAAACAAGAUGCACCUGAGCUCAAUUUCGAGUCUCAUAGAAAAUGGUCUGUAACUAAGG
rnacentral:lncRNA from 1 species